GUUGAUCAACCAAACAUACUACUUUUCUUGGUGAAAAUACUGCAAUAGAAUGGCAUGAAGGCAAUAUAUAUACCUCAGAUCCAUGAAACUUCCUGAUUUGUUGAUAUGGGGAGGGAGAACAAUUCUACAUUCUAGUGGGUAAAUCUGCGGCUAAAGAAACAUAUAUCCAGCAUUUCUUGAAUGCCUGAUUUGUGAAGUUGAGAUAGAAUAGGCUGCUGCUAAAAGAAACAGCAACACAGUACAAAGAAAUGUCAAAAUGCUCAACAUUUUAAGUAUUCCAAAGGCCAAGACCAAAUCAAGCUUUUGUGUGAGGAAAAUCACAAUCUAGAUGUCUGUGUGGCUACACGAACAUUGGAUUUUAAAUCUGGAUGACCCACUGCUUUUAUAAGGACAAAAUUGAAAACGCGGUGCGAUUAAUAUCCAUUAACAAACAACUCCAGUCCCAAAUCGAACGAAUCACUGCUGCCGGAGUCUAGUUCUCCUCUAGGAUUGGUCGUUGGAGGCUCUGCUUCUCUGAAUGAACCCGGGGCGUUUGGGCAAUUUUUUAAAGUUCAUUUCUCAUCACAGACCCAGCAGAGUGAGAUGUCAAAAGGAAAGACAUUUCGAGUCCAACUCUUGUCUGAACAACGUUCGUGUAGCCAUAUGCCAACCAUCUUUCCUCGCAAAUAAGUCUCACCAAAUUCAGUGGGCCUAAUAAACGUAUUGACUUGGGCGGAGCUAUUGACAACAGUGGGGCUUGCUUCCGAGUAGACAUGCAUAGGAUCUGGCUGCGCGAUGCGGGCUUGGUUUGCCGCUUUAACCCAUUAAAAGUCGGACGUUGGGGAGCCUAUCAUGUGUACUAAUUCUUUUGAUUUAUUCCGUUUCUGUUGCUUGCCAACGCUAUGGCUUCCUUUUAUUGCUCUUCCGUGAUGACAAAGGUCCGCUACUCAUACAUGCAAACACCCAGAUUUAUUUAGGAACUGAAGUAGACUGGAGAUAGCCUCGUAGGCGCGGUGGUUAGACUCAGCCAACGGUAAUCUACCACUGUCAAUGUGACUGCCUAAUUUUGUGUAAAUCGCAGGGCCAGACCGCAGCCUUCCCAGCGCUGGGGGCGGAUACAGCCCUGAUGGUCUGUUUUGAAGAAGUAAAAGUCUUGUCGCACCUUGAAGCCUUAAUAGGCUUAAUAGGCACAAGCUUUGGUACACCGGAGGCCACUUGAUCAGACGCAACUGAUGAAAUUAACCCUCUCAUUCUAAACACGCCGAAGAAUACAUGCGUUAGACCUUACGGUGCUACAAGAGGCCUUGGUGUUUUCCAUCCAACCUACGUAUAGGCUUGCUUCCUGUUGCAAAAUAAGGGCGAACGGACUGGAGUCAAGGUCAGUCUGCCCGGCAACUAAAACAGAAGUCGUAUUUACCGUGUAUGGAUCAGAUUCUCUUCCGCCACCCCGUAGAUUUCCAAGCAGAUUGAUACUUAUUCUGUUCUUUUGCUUGAUUUGGGGGGAAGGGGCAAACGAGCCACGAGCGAAGGCACCUACUUGGCAGGGACCAAAAGAGCAGCUCUUGGUUAGCUCCUCCAUGGCUGCCCGAUCUGAAAUGCAGGCCUAGAAAUCUUGAGGAUUUACUUCUAAGCAAAUGCGUUUGGGAUGGGAUCUUCUUUGCCGGUGAUGUUGCAGCCGUGUGUCUCCCCCACUGACUUGUUGCCGGGUUUGAAGCUGGCGGGUGAGGGGGAGGUCGCGGAGGUGCCAGGGAAGUGGCGGGGGUGAUUGUUUUCCUAGACUGUAGAGGCCCUCGCCCUGCCCCAAUUUCACCCCCAGUCAAAACAACAUGUUUAAGACCACUAACAGGAGGAAUUCGCGCCACGUCCUAGUAACGCGUAGGUUCUUUUGAUUGGCUCUCUGCCCUUUAGUUCCCCUCCCCCGCCCUCAGCCGAACUUUAAGCUUCUGUGUACAUAGAAACGGGCCUCGGAAGGAGAAAGUGGUCGAGACGAAGUAACAUCAGCGAGAUUCUAGAGUUCACUCAUUUGAGAAGACAAAUGAGAUAAGGCGAUGUUGUUAGUCAGUCUGGACAAACGCGAUUAGAUAGAGGUAGGUAGAUCCGAUAAUCUGAAACUAAAAUAACUAAAACGCUCAUCUUCAGUGCCUCUUCAUUCCACUGAUUUCAAAGGAACCAGCUCUAAGAGCAAUCGUGCAGCCCCAUAGGCUGGUCGAGAGGUAAAUUUACCGCUGGUGAGAGGUAAAUUUACCGCUGGUCGAGAGGUAAAUGCCGCUGAAUUCUUGGGACUUCCUUCCUUCUGGUAACGGUAAGGGCUGCCAAACAUAUUUUACUGAGUAAAGGGGAGGUGAUCUACACAUCCAAGAAUGCUCACUGGAGUUUUGGAAUGGAUUUCAGAAUGAGAUGCGAGUUUCGCAUCCUAUGGAAGAUAACACGGAAGAACUCGGAAAACCUGUGCGCUUGAUAGAGGCAAAUUUGAUUGCAUGUAUCCAGGGAGAGCACACCCCAGCCUACUUGGAAAUAACUCGCACUGAGUUUAAUGGGUCUUACAUCCGCGUAAAUGUGGACUGAACCAAUUUGCUGCUUAGGAAACAGCCGGUAUUGUGAAGUAGCACAUUGCGGAUGGAAAGGAAGACAGGCAGACACAAACGAAGGGUGGUCAACACCAUAAUUUUUCGGUGGGAAAGGACUAAAGCUCAACUUUUAUAUGUAUUUUCCCAGCGAAUAUUUCGGUGAAAAGCGCGGUCCGUUUGUGGUUAUCUGUGGAGGAAAAGGAUGUGCUAGGUACAAAUUUAUUUUCAGACCGAUUCUAUAUGCAACAUCCCAGAUGAAAGUGUUUUUCCCGCAGGGUGUUAAAGAGACGUCUCGGCGAGCUGUGUGUGUGUGAUGUCCUAUAAUAAGACCUAAUAAAACUUUCUGAAAGAAAAGCGCUUAGAAAGUCUGGAUAGCUUUCGCUGAGUAAUCUCUGCCUGUCAAGCGCUGGAGGCGGGGUCCUGCCCUGGUCCCUGGACUUGUUGUCUCAGCCGAAAAGAAGUGGGUCAGUGGAGCACAUGACAAGCCCCGACUCCACCACUGAAACAUACAAAAGAGACAGAGGCAGACGGACAGACAAAGCCAGAUUCACAGCUUUAGGAGAAAACCAAACUGUUGGAUUUAAAACCAGGUUCUUUCAGCUAGCACAGUGGGCAGUUGUUGGUCAAGCUGACAUGGACCUUAUUCACAAUCAAGCCAGCAACACAUCCUAAUCCCCGUCUUUAUGUACUCUGGUAGCAACUGGGAUAAUGGACGGUGCACCAUCCCGAUACCGAUCCUUGAUUACUCGGAAGUAAGCAGUACUGGUUUUAAUAGGGUUUGCUUCCAAGUAAAAAUGCCUAGGAGGAUUGCUUUAAUCAUGGUUAGUCUAGAAAAGGCAUGUUCAUCUACCCACACGAUCAUAUAGGCCCUCUACUACCAGCAAUGCCCUUCAAAGGUUUAUACUACAGGGACAAACAGAGCCUCCUCUAGCCAAGGAGGCUGGGAGGCUGCAGAGCUUACGGGCUCCUGAAUCAGUCAGAUGGUGCUGAAUAAGAUGGGGCUUUCGCUAGAACCAGGAACGGGCCGUGUCUUUCAUUUUGGCUGCUCAUUCCCGUCUUGACGUUUAGUGAUUCACUUGGUUGUCCACU